UGAGGGUUAGUUCUAACUGGAAGAACGCUUCAAACUUCAUUGAAGAAGUUGUGGGUUCAAUUCCCGCACCCUCCA
rnacentral:tRNA from 1 species